AGUCUGGUGCCAGCAGCCGCGGUAAUUCCAGCUCAAGUAGCGUACAUUAAAGUUGUUGCGGUUAAAGCGCUCCUAGUCGAAAGUGUGGCUGAUGCGCGUGGGGCGGCUUUGGGGCCGGACUCGCGGGCGUUGGUUGUUUGUGUGGGUGCUGGGGUGUGCCAUUAGGUUGGUGUGUCCCGCGUAGGUGCCUGCUCGUUUACUGUGAACAAAUUAGAGUGUUCGAAGCAGCCUGUAGCGGCGUGAAUAUCCUAGCAUGGAAUAAUGGAAUAGGACGGAGGUUCGUUUAUUUCGUUGGUUUGGAGGGCCAUCUGUAAUGAUUGAUAGGAACAGUCAGGAGGCUUGAUAUUCGGAAGUCAGAGGUGAAAUUCUUAGAUUUUCCGAGGAUCAACCGGUGCGAAGGCAUUGCCUAGGGAUGUUUUCAUUGAUCAAGAACGAAAGUCGGGGGUUCGAAGACGAUCAGAUACCGUCGUAGUCUCGACCGUAAACCAUGGUAGCUCGCGGUGCUCUGGGUAUUUUCAUUAUGAUGGCCCAGGGCGAAGCGUGUGGAAACUAAAGCGUUUGACCCCCUGGGGGACUAUGGUCGCAAGGCUGAAACUUGAAGAAAUUGACGGAAGGGCACCACCAGCGGUGGAGCCUGCGGCUCAAUUUGACCCAACACGGGGAAACUCACCAGGUCCAGAGUGCAUGAGGAUUGACAGCUCGAAGUGCUUUCUUGAUUUGUACGAAGGUGGUGCAUGGCUGUUCUUAGUUGGUGGAGUGAUCUGUCUGGUUAAUUCCGAUAACGAACGAGACCUCGAGGGGGUGUUCCGGCGCCUGCCCCGUGUGGGCGGAGUGUCGGUCCUCCUCCGACUGCAGCUGUUGUAAGUUGCGGAGGUUCGAGGCAAUAACAGGUCUGUGAUGCCCUUAGAUGUUCUGGACUGCACGCGCGCUACACUGUGCAAGACAGCGAGUUUUCUGUUUCUGCCUCGGAAGGGGUGGAUAAUCUUGUUAGACUUGUACGUGACUGGGACCGACCAUUGUAAUUAGGGUCGCGAACGAGGAAUCCCUAGUAAGAGCGGUUCAACAGAUCGCUCUGAUUACGUCCCUGCCCUUUGUACACACCGCCCGUCGCUUCUACCGAUUGGAUGGACGGGUAAGGAACUGGGACCUGCUCUUUUGUCGUUUGGCGGGGGAGCGGGGAACUUUUUCGUAUCUUUCUAUCUAGAGGAAGAAGAAGUCGU
rnacentral:rRNA from 1 species